UACAGAGAGUGCAAGCGUUAAUCGGAAUUACUGGGCGUAAAGCGCACGUAGGUGGAUGUUUAAGUCGGAUGUGAAAGCCCUGGGCUUAACCUAGGAAUUGCAUUCGAUACUGGGCGUCUAGAAUAUGGUAGAGGGAAGUGGAAUUUCUGGUGUAGCGGUGAAAUGCGUAGAUAUCAGAAGGAACAUCAGUGGCGAAAGCGGCUUCCUGGACUAAUAUUGACACUUAGGUGCGAAAGCGUGGGGAGCAAACAGGAUUAGAAACCCUGGUAGUCC
rnacentral:rRNA from 1 species